GAGUCGACCCCUAAGGCGAGGCCGAAAGGCGUAGUCGAUGGGAAACAGGUUAAUAUUCCUGUACUUGGUGUUACUGCGAAGGGGGGACGGAGAAGGCUAUGUUGGCCGGGCGACGGUUGUCCCGGUUUAAGCGUGUAGGCUGGUUUUCCAGGCAAAUCCGGAAAAUCAAGGCUGAGGCGUGAUGACGAGGCACUACGGUGCUGAAGCAACAAAUGCCCUGCUUCCAGGAAAAGCCUCUAAGCAUCAGGUAACAUCAAAUCGUACCCCAAACCGACACAGGUGGUCAGGUAGAGAAUACCAAGGCGCUUGAGAGAACUCGGGUGAAGGAACUAGGCAAAAUGGUGCCGUAACUUCGGGAGAAGGCACGCUGAUAUGUAGGUGAAGUCCCUUGCGGAUGGAGCUGAAAUCAGUCGAAGAUACCAGCUGGCUGCAACUGUUUAUUAAAAACACAGCACUGUGCAAACACGAAAGUGGACGUAUACGGUGUGACGCCUGCCCGGUGCCGGAAGGUUAAUUGAUGGGGUUAGCGCAAGCGAAGCUCUUGAUCGAAGCCCCGGUAAACGGCGGCCGUAACUAUAACGGUCCUAAGGUAGCGAAAUUCCUUGUCGGGUAAGUUCCGACCUGCACGAAUGGCGUAAUGAUGGCCAGGCUGUCUCCACCCGAGACUCAGUGAAAUUGAACUCGCUGUGAAGAUGCAGUGUACCCGCGGCAAGACGGAAAGACCCCGUGAACCUUUACUAUAGCUUGACACUGAACAUUGAGCCUUGAUGUGUAGGAUAGGUGGGAGGCUUGGAAGUGUGGACGCCAGUCUGCAUGGAGCCGACCUUGAAAUACCACCCUUUAAUGUUUGAUGUUCUAACGUUGACCCGUAAUCCGGGUUGCGGACAGUGUCUGGUGGGUAGUUUGACUGGGGCGGUCUCCUCCUAAAGAGUAACGGAGGAGCACGAAGGUUGGCUAAUCCUGGUCGGACAUCAGGAGGUUAGUGCAAUGGCAUAAGCCAGCUUGACUGCGAGCGUGACGGCGCGAGCAGGUGCGAAAGCAGGUCAUAGUGAUCCGGUGGUUCUGAAUGGAAGGGCCAUCGCUCAACGGAUAAAAGGUACUCCGGGGAUAACAGGCUGAUACCGCCCAAGAGUUCAUAUCGACGGCGGUGUUUGGCACCUCGAUGUCGGCUCAUCACAUCCUGGGGCUGAAGUAGGUCCCAAGGGUAUGGCUGUUCGCCAUUUAAAGUGGUACGCGAGCUGGGUUUAGAACGUCGUGAGACAGUUCGGUCCCUAUCUGCCGUGGGCGCUGGAGAACUGAGGGGGGCUGCUCCUAGUACGAGAGGACCGGAGUGGACGCAUCACUGGUGUUCGGGUUGUCAUGCCAAUGGCACUGCCCGGUAGCUAAAUGCGGAAGAGAUAAGUGCUGAAAGCAUCUAAGCACGAAACUUGCCCCGAGAUGAGUUCUCCCUGAC
rnacentral:rRNA from 1 species